CAUAGUAGUGGUGAAUCAUCGAAUCUUUGAACGCAUCUUGCACUUUUUAGGUCUCCUAAAAGUAUACUUGUUUGAGUAUCAUUAACACAUUAACUCCAAGCUCAGUCUUGGGAAUUGAGACGUCAAGUUAUGCAGCAUGCCUUGCCUUGCUUGCAUCACUUAACUUGUGUCUUUUAAUUGAUAUGCAGAGUGUUUCGGUGGCAACACCGAAAGCCUUUCCAAUCAAAUGUGAGAUAAAUAUCGCACAAAGUAGUUGAAAGGUUAAGCUAUGCUACGCCCAGAAGCAGCACCUAGUGUUGCUUCAACCUUUGAUCUGUGAUCUCAAAUCAAGUAAGACUACCCGCUGAACUUAAGCAUAUCAAUAAGCGGAGG
rnacentral:rRNA from 1 species